rnacentral:rRNA from 1 species
UACGAAGGGGGCUAGCGUUGCUCGGAAUCACUGGGCGUAAAGGGUGCGUAGGCGGGUCUUUAAGUCAGGGGUGAAAUCCUGGAGCUCAACUCCAGAACUGCCUUUGAUACUGAAGAUCUUGAGUUCGGGAGAGGUGAGUGGAACUGCGAGUGUAGAGGUGAAAUUCGUAGAUAUUCGCAAGAACACCAGUGGCGAAGGCGGCGUUCUGGACCGACAUUGACGCUGAGGAGCGAAAGCCAGGGGAGCAAAGCGGGAUUAGAUGA